rnacentral:rRNA from 1 species
CCAAUAGCGUAUAUUAAAGUUGUUGCAGUUAAAAAGCUCGUAGUUGAAUUUCGGGAUCAAUAUGUCUGUCGUGCCUUCGGUACGUACGGGUAUAAUUGGUUCCUACCUUCUGAUGAACCUUGAUGCCAUUAAUUUGGUGUCUUGGGGACUCAGGACUGUUACCUUGAAAAAAUUAGAGUGUUUAAAGCAGGCAUGCGCUUGAAUACAUUAGCAUGGAAUAAUGAAAUAGGACGUUCGAUUCUAUUUUGUUGGUUUCUAGGAUCGACGUAAUGAUUAAUAGGGAUAGUUGGGGGCAUUAGUAUUCAAUUGUCAGAGGUGAAAUUCUUGGAUUUAUUGAAGACUAACUACUGCGAAAGCAUUUGCCAAGGAUGUUUUCAUUAAUCAAGAACGAAAGUUAGGGGAUCGAAGACGAUCAGAUACCGUCGUAGUCUUAACCAUAAACUAUGCCGACUAGGGAUCGGAUGAUGUUAAUUUUUUAAUGACUCAUUCGGCGCCUUACG